CAACCAGGCUGGACAGCCGCGGGCUCAAAUCGAAAGGUUGAGCGUGAGGAAAGUCCGGGCUUCGCAGGGCAGGAAUAACGGGUAACACCCGCCGGGGGCAACCCUAGGACAAGUGCAACAGAGAUAUACCGCUCCAAUUGUGCAACAAAUGAUGGGAGUAAGGCUGAAAAGGUGGGGUAAGAGCCCACCCGGCCUAUGGAAACAUAGGUUUUACGAUGUAAACUCUAUUCCGAAGCAACACCGUGGAGGAACAUACGGUCUGCCCGACCGUUCCGGGGAGGUGGCUGGAUUCCGUGAGCAAUUGCGGAACUAGAUAGAUGGCUGUCAAAACAGAACCCGGCUUAUAGGCCUGAUUGCAAA
rnacentral:RNase_P_RNA from 1 species